UCCCAACCUUUCAGCAGCUUCUACACACCCA
rnacentral:piRNA from 1 species